AGGACGAACGCUGGCGGCGUGCUUAACACAUGCAAGUCGAGCGGAAAGGCCCUUCGGGGUACUCGAGCGGCGAACGGGUGAGUAACACGUGAGUAAUCUGCCCCUAGCUCUGGGAUAGCUCCGGGAAACCGGGAUUAAUACCGGAUACGACCACCUUAGACAUCUUUUGUGGUGGAAAGAAUUUCGGCUAGGGAUGAGCUCGCGGCCUAUCAGCUUGUUGGUGGGGUAACGCCUACCAAGGCGACGACGGGUAGCCGGCCUGAGAGGGCGACCGGCCACACUGGGACUGAGACACGGCCCAGACUCCUACGGGAGGCAGCAGUGGGGAAUAUUGGACAAUGGGCGCAAGCCUGAUCCAGCCAUGCCGCGUGGGUGAAGAAGGCCUUCGGGUUGUAAAGCCCUUUGUUCGGGACGAAAUCGUACGGGUGAAUAUCCCGUGCGGAUGACGGUACCGGAAGAAUAAGCACCGGCUAACUUCGCGCCAGCAGCCGC
rnacentral:rRNA from 1 species